AUGAACGUUGGCGGCGUGGAUUAGGCAUGCAAGUCGCGCGUGUACCCGCAAGGGGAAAGCGGCGUAAGGGACAGUAAUGUGUAGAUACGUACCCUGGGGUCGGGAAUAGCCACGGGAAACUGUGGGUAAUGCCCGAUGAUGUCUUCGGACCAAAGGUGUGAUUCCGCCCUUGGAUCGGUCUGCAUCCUAUUAGGUAGUUGGUGAGGUAACGGCUCACCAAGCCAAUGAUGGGUAGGGGGUGUGAGAGCACGACCCCCGUCACUGGGACUGAGACACUGCCCAGACACCUACGGGUGGCUGCAGUCGAGGAUCUUCGGCAAUGGGCGCAAGCCUGACCGAGCGACGCCGCGUGCGGGAUGAAGGCCUUCGGGUUGUAAACCGCUGUCAGUGGGGAGGAAAUGCCGGUGGGUUCUCCCAUCGGUUUGACCUAUCCGCAGAGGAAGCAAGGGCUAAGUUCGU
rnacentral:rRNA from 1 species